GGUUAAGUGAAUAAGGGCGCACGGUGGAUGCCUUGGCACUAGGAGCCGAUGAAGGACGGGACUAACACCGAUAUGCUUUGGGGAGCUGUACGUAAGCUAUGAUCCAGAGAUUUCCGAAUGGGGGAACCCAGCAUCUUUAAUAGGAUGUUACGAUUGUGUGAAUACAUAGCACAUUCGAGGUAGACGCAGAGAACUGAAACAUCUAAGUACCUGCAGGAAGAGAAAGAAAAUUCGAUUCCCUGAGUAGCGGCGAGCGAAACGGGAAAAGCCCAAACCAACAAGCUUGCUUGUUGGGGUUGUAGGACUCCAAUAUGGUCGUUCUUUCAGAUAGUCGAAUGACUUGGAAAAGUCAGUCAAAGAGGGUAAAAACCCCGUAGACGAAAUGUGGAAGACACCUAGGAGGAUCCUGAGUACGGCGGAACACGAGAAAUUCCGUCGGAAUCCGGGAGGACCAUCUCCCAAGGCUAAAUACUCCCUAGUGACCGAUAGUGAACCAGUACCGUGAGGGAAAGGUGAAAAGCACCCCGGAAGGGGAGUGAAAUAGAACCUGAAACCGUGUGCCUACAACAAGUCAAAGCCCGUUAAUGGGUGAUGGCGUGCCUUUUGUAGAAUGAACCGGCGAGUUACGAUUGCAUGCGAGGUUAAGUUGAAGAGACGGAGCCGCAGCGAAAGCGAGUCU
rnacentral:rRNA from 1 species